rnacentral:lncRNA from 1 species
GGUUCUCUGAGUUCCAAACAGAGAUCACCGUUUUGUCCAAAAUCCGCCAUCGCCACCUCGUAUCCUUAAUUGGGUAUUGUGCUGAACGGUCCGAGAUGAUACUUGUUUACGAGUUUAUGGAGAAGGGGAGCUUAAAAGAUCACCUGUACAAUUCGGAUUUCCCAUGCUUACCUUGGAAGCAAAGGCUCCAGAUCUGCAUUGGAGCGGCCCGGGGCUUGAAUUACCUCCACAAAGGCGCAGCUGGAGGAAUUAUUCACCGGGACAUCAAGUCCACCAACAUUUUGCUUGAUGAGAAUUAUGUUGCGAAGGUUGCUGACUUUGGUCUGUCCAAGUCGGGCCCACUGGAUCAAAGCCAAACCCAUGUGAGUACAGGGGUCAAGGGCACUUUUGGGUACCUCGAUCCAGAGUACUUCAAGACCCAGCAGCUGACAGAAAAAUCAGAUGUGUACUCGUUUGGAGUGGUUCUUCUCGAGGUGCUAUGCGCAAGGCCUGCUAUAGACCCUUCGCUUCCCAGAGAGCAGGCGAACUUGGCUGAAUGGGGCAUCGCAUGCAUCCAGAACGGAAUCAUUGAGCAAAUAGUCGACCCUCUUAUUGGUGGUCAGAUUAAUUCGAACUCGCUGAGAAAAUAUGGGGAGGUUGCUGAGAAAUGCUUGCAAGAAGAGGAUGAAGAGAGACCUAGCAUGGGCGAUGUACUCUGGGACUUGGAAUACGCCUUGCAGCUUCAGCAAACAGCGGCGGAAAGAGAGAUGUGCGAUGGCAGCAUGACCGACGGUUCGUCAAUAUUGACUCUUUCAAACGUGAGGAAGCUCCCAUCAUUUAGCACAGACUUGGUCGAAGAAGAGGCCGUGGGCAAAGAAUGGGCGGAUAGUUCACAGAUGUCCAUGAGUGGAGUUUUCUCCCAGAUGAAGAUUGAGGAAGCCAGAUGAGUUUCAUUGUGCAGUACGUUUAUUUAACGUGUUUCUGAGUAGUUUUCAGAUAUGAAUUCUAUUUNNNNNNNNNNNNNNNNNNNNNNNNNNNNNNNNNNNNNNNNNNNNNNNNNNNNNNNNNNNNNNNNNNNNNNNNNNNNNNNNNNNNNNNNNNNNNNNNNNNNCAGAGAGGGCACAUUUGACCGUGAUAUAUCCAAAUGUGAUAGAUAUUGCACACCCCUUAGUUGCAGACCUUGAAUAAACACUUGUUCCACAGAUUGCGCCAUUGAUGUCCUGCUCCGUAAUUGUUUUUGGGAAUGAUGCUAGAUGGCUUCUACAGCUAUGUGCUAUUAUUAGAGAUUGCACAAGCCCAAUUGUUAUUUCCUUUGAAGGAUUUCAAUAGAUUUGAUUAGACUCGAGGUUUCAGAUUCAUUGAUAUUUCAGAGCAUGAGCUUCCUUUAUAAUUCUUGGAAACUACUUCUCUGCUGUUCUCCAUCGUUCACCAAAAAUGCUUUCCUGCUGAAUGGCUUUCGAUUCAAAUUUCAACCCGUUUGCAAUAUGAUUAGUGCUGUCUCUGCUUUCAAGGUGGAAAAAGCGCCACUUCAUCCUUCUUUAUCACCCGGGCUUAGGUUGGUGGCAUUAGCAUUGUGAUUUUUUAUGGCCAGGUCGACAAUUUUUUCUUUUUAUCUGAUCGUGCUUCGGCUUUUCCGUUUUCUUUCGGAAAUGAGCUUUGAUGUCUUGGCUGCGUUUUACUCCCAUUCAGGUUAGGGGAAAAUUUUCCUCCUCCCAUCACUUGAUUUGUGCAUUUUGUAGAUGCGUAAAUUAAUCACGUCAUCUUUAUGCAAAAUAAGUAAAUUUGCUAGCAAAUGUCUUUUCUAAAGGGACUUACAGCAAGCUUGCUUCAUUGAAUAUUGCUCUAUGGAGGAAUAACUUAGGAUUGGUGCUAGGAUACUAAGUUAUUUUCGCCCCGCUAAGAUAUUUUAAAGAGAUUUUUGAGGUUUGAUUUAAAGGGAUCAGAAGCUCGUUAGAGAUGACUUGGCCCUUUCUUUAAACUUUUUAGUACAUCUGGGGUCAAUUCCAAUCCUCCUCACAUAUGGCAAUUCGUCAUUGGUUUGUGCCCUUGUGACGGUUUCAAUUUAUCCACUGCUAUUUGCCACAUGGCAUCAUCCUGCUCAACCCUCUUAUUAUAAACAGUCCAUUCAUCUAUUUAUUUGGAAACUUUUGGCGGUUGGAUCUGGAAACUUUUGGAACUAGGAAUGCAGCUCUUCGAUCGACUUCAACAUCUUCAGACUUUGGAACUUCGCCAAAUAAUCAUUGAAUAGCACUCCACGAUAAGCGCCACAGUAGAAAUUCUACAAUUUCCCCUUGGCAAUUGAGUCUACUGGAAUUGACCAUUCCUCUUCAUGCCCUCUUUAUCUCAUCCUGCUUUGGUGUAAUUUCUACCUAGCACUAAUCCUUUUGUAUUGCCAAGGGAUCUCGAGUAAACCACCUCAACAAUUUUCGUUUUGGGUAAGUCUUAUGCCAAGUGACUCUUAACAACCCAAGUAAAUACAUCAAAUUCAAAACCAAAUUUUUGUAUGUCUCAUUUUCCCCGCUCUCCCUUUCUCUCUCACUUCGGCCGUACCUAACUCCAACCAUAGCAUGCCUCCGCAAGCCUUGCCAAGAUGCCGCCACCAUAACCUUGAAGUCGAUUUCGGCCUUUCCAUAUCCUUGACGUAACCAACAAAUCUGUGCCCACUAUUACCAGCCCUAUUUCUCUCCUUCCUCCAUUGCACCUAGUCGUCUCUCUAUCAUGGAGCAAACCCAAAUCGGUUUAGGUGUGUGAUCCCCGAUGGUGGGUGACCCUCCAUGGUCAACGAGCUUCGUUUACGACAUCUCAUGGAGGGAUGGGUCUUAGUCGGAGUUUUGGGUUGUCGUCAUGAUGGUCAACGAUUUGAUAGUGGAAUUUGGAUUGUUGUCAUGAUGACCAACGAUCUGCUAGCAAUGGACUACAACAUUAAUGUAGACAAACAAACGAGGAUAAUUAACAAAAAAGUCUUAAACUUAUUAUUAUUGUGUCAAUUUAGUCAUUAUUAUUAUUUUUGGCCAAUUUAAUCAUAAACCUUUUGCAAUUGUAUUAAUUCAGUUUACCUGAUCAAUUUAGCCAACCGGCACUAACGUGAAAUUUUUUUAAUAAUAUUUUAUUAUUUUUAAAUACAUUUAUCAAUUUUUUUCUUUUUCUUUUUCCUUUUUUUUUUUUCCUUUUUUCUUUUUUUUCCUUCUUUACUUCUUUUCCCCAUAGUGGUUGGCAAGCCUCCCACAAGAGGCACUAGCCAUUGGGUGAGGGUUGUGAAGCUCUCGUUAGUUACCAGCAAUGUGUUCCUUCCUCGGCCUUGCCUAGGUGAGGGCCAUGACCCUCGCCGAAGGAAAAAAGCAAAGAAGGAAGAAAGGAGAAAAGAAAAAAAGAAAAAAUAAUAAAAUAUUAUUAAACAUUGUAGCCUCUUUAGUCGAGAUGCCUUGUAAAUCGAGAUAGUUCUAGCUAGUGACAAGUAUCGCCAAUGUGUGUGUUGGUGAGCUUUAUGAUGGGUAUGAACCUAUCAUUAUAUAUUAGUAGGCUUCGUAACGAGUAAUGAAUAUACAUUCCCUGUGUAUAGUGAUGAGCCACGAGGUGAUACUAAUGCAUCAUGAAAUAACAUGUUUUCUGCUUGCUUAUGAGUGAAUGAACUUACAUGAUAGUUACUAGUUUUUAUUGGCAUAUCAUGAUUGAAAAAGAAAGAGAACUUACUCAUGCAUGGUUAUUUUGUAAAUGCCUUAUACUCACAUUAUUUGAUUGGUGUCAAAUUAUGCAUUAAGAUGAUCUCCUACCUUAGACCCAAAAAUUUUAUAACGGUUUUUAGCUCACCCCUCAUUUCUCAAUGUGUAGGAUGGCCCCUUUGAACAUGUUGGUGGGUGCGAUGUGGUGAUGCCUAAGACCAUCAACCUCAAGUUAGAUGACAGCCCGCUUGUGGAAUAGUAUGAGAGUAGUGAUAUUAGUUAACCGACCAUUUUCCCAGGACUAUAUAUUUUGUUGUGAUAAUAACUACUGAUGUUUGUAUGAAGAAAAAGCAUAUGCAUAUGUAUUAAACUAGUGUGACUUUCUUUUAUGGAAUAUUAUUAUGUAUUUUGUAGUACUUAUGCAUGCUAUUAAUCAAAGAGAAAAAUCUACACAUGUAGUGCGUAACGUACCUAGGCCGUCAAAAGGACCUCAUGGAUGCCAAUAAUAUUUACAAGAUUAUGUCAUUUGUGGUUGUCACAACCCGACCUUGACGCCCCUAGUUUUAGGGAUGCGGUAUAAAGAUAGAAUUUAGAGGUACUUGACUGUGAGAACUCCCUCACCAUAUACUACUCCAAGAGAUGUCAUCAUCUCAUUUUUUGGGACCAACCACAUGAGUUUGCUUAUGGUCUUAAACUCUCAUAAGCUCACAUCUUGCAUGACAACGGAAUUUAUUUAAAGUUGUAUUAAACAACCUAAAAAUUGGAUUUUAGGAGUCACCACUAGCAUCUUUUUUUGGGGGUCGACAAGAAUACCCAAUCAAGGAUUAGAAGUAGUCCUUCAAUUUCUACGCAAUCAAAGAUCAAAGGCUUGAGGAUUUGUGUUACGUUAACAUUUCUAUUAAUGCCCUUUCGAUACCAAAUAGGUGUGCUUUAUUACUUAACAGGUCCUUACAUUUCUUUUUACAUUUUCGUGCAUCCAAAACUAAGGUGUUACCAUGCUUGGUUCGUUCAUUCCUUUCUAUUCUAAUCUAACCAGAAUAAUAAAGGAGACAAUCAAUUAAUUGAAGAGACAUUACGGAAAGUAAACACCCAAGACAAUUUUAAAGAUGAUAUAAGGAAACAAGUCUAAAAAGGACAAUAAAAGAAAAACCCACAACUCGUUGGACCUUUAUACAACACAAAAGGAGCCCAAGACAUUUGUUCAGAAAUGAAUAUCACAAUUUGAAAAGGUCAAAUUGGACAUCGAUCAUUCGCCAUCUUCAAAUCUUUGGGACCGCCACCUCCAAAGGAUGCCUUUCAAACUUAUUCUAAUCCUAGGCCAAUAGAAUUACAAGACAUGCGCCACACAAGCAAUGACAAAUGCAUAGAUCAAACAAACGCAAGCAAUACAAAGCAUCAAACAAAUGCACUCCACUUGUCAAGCAUGGCAUUAGGGUUGGCCUUUGAAAUUCAUGCAAUGCCCUCAUUCAGAGACCUACCCCCAUUCAUUUUAAGUGACUCAUAGUCAUUAGCCAUUGCUUGCGUUCACAAGAAUUGACCAAUGCUAUAAAAUCCCUAAGUCGAGUUCUAAGUGACAUCUCAAAGUAAUCCACAUGAUCAUGCAUCGCACCUAGGCCAUUCAUCUAAAAAUCACAUGCAAAGUAUAUAAGGCGGCAUGCACUUAGGCCAUAAAGCCUUAGUUCUCAAUCAAUCAACCAACCAAUUUAGUAAUAAUGGAUCAAUUAUUCAAUCAUGCACACCAAUGAAAUAUAAUCACACAAUGCAUAACCAUGACGAGCAAAGGCAGACAAAAUCCGAUUCAUGUGAUGCCAAAAAAUGAUUCAUAUUCAAUUUGCAAGCAAGGGCUUAAGUUAGAUGAAAUUGCAAAGGGAGACCUCAACUUCACAUAUUUACAAACAAGUCCUAAUGAAAGGAAAUUUGCAAAUUUCAAUUGUUUAGAAAACAUGUAUAUCAAUUUUAUAAGAAUUUGAACAUGUUAGAUGUUUUCUGGAAAUAAAUCCAAAGUUUGAGUGCGGAUAAUGUCGGUACACAAAUUGGACUUCAUGAACCAUCUAACAAACGUCAAAUCUUAACAAAAUGGCUUUAAUUUUUUUUUUUUUUUGAAAGAUAUGACAGUUUUAUAGAAUUUGAAUGAGUUUGAUGUUAUUGGGAAAUAUAUCUAGAACCCGGGUGCAGAUAAUGUCAACACAUUUAUCGAACUCCUUGAACCAUCAAAUGAUCAUUCAAUUCAAUAAAACUGACAUCAAAAAAAUAUAUGAGAAAUGCCAAACAACUUUGUUGAAGAAAUUUUUGCAAUAUGGGCAUCACAUGAACUUAUAAAGAUCUCAAUUUAAACAAAAGUUAGUUCAGGAAAUCAAUAUUCCAUAAUGCACUAUUACUUUGAGAGGGUUGGUAAAAAUACUAAAACAUGUUUUUAUUUUCUGAACAUUAAUGACAAUUAAGUUCAGUUUGUGACAAACAAUUCUCAAGAGGACAUCUAAGUCUAAUUCAGCAUGCUUGAUUUUCUAAAAAUCACACAUGUAUGUCAAUCAGCCAAAUCAACAAUCUUAGAAACAAGGUAACCAACUCUAUUUAACAGAAGCAGGAUCGAUGGUCAUCUCGACCUAGGAUUUUAUGGAAAGUAAACCAACGUGUGAGAGUAACUUUUAUGUGGGAAGCAUCUCAUUUCCUAACACACGAAUUUCUAAAAAUCUAAGAACACAAAUAGGUCAGUCAGGAAUAGAACAGAGCAAUAUGAGUGAGAAUGUUCUAUAGCCAAUCGACCCUAUCAAUUGGUAUCCAAAAAUUUUCAAAAUUUUAUAUGUUAUAAACAUGAAUAUCAUGGACAAAUUUUAUCGGGACUCAACUCCAAAAUAGCACCCAAAAAAUCACACAAAAUUGGCAAAUAGUCAGACCCAUAAAAGCACAGCAAGCAUUUCGAUUCAAUGCAAGUUCCAGAUUGUAACUCGAAUUGGGAAAAAUGGUAAGCACAGCAAAUGAUCUUAAAAUCAUGCAAACCAGACAUGACAAGAACGCUUAAGAUGUCUCCUACAAACUUCUAGAAGGUGACAAGUUCAAUUAAUGUCGUUUUUCAGCUCAAACGAAGAUAUCUAGCAAACAGGACAAAUCUAAAACAGAGUUGAAUUAUAGCUAAACGGUUUGCAAAUCCUAUGAAGUUUUUAUAUUAUUUAAAAUUAAAUGUCAAGAUCAAACUUCAUGAAGACACUCAGUCCAAAAACAUAGUACAAAAAAAAAAUACAAAAAUGACAAACCAAGCAGGUCAGUCAGCCUCAAAAACAUAUGCCGCAAAUAGCAUAUUGCAGACUUUUUCACUAAUUUUGAAUAGGUUUUGACAUAGCAAAUGACGUCAAACUCAUGCAUGGAAUAUAUAUUUGAAAAGGUCCUGAAGUCAUGCGAGAAUCUCAUGCAGACAUCGAAGCCUAAAAAGGACAUUAUCUAGCUUAAAUGAAGACGUUUAUCAGGUCGGUUUAAUAAGUAUACGAUUUUCACAGAACCAGCAAUCAAGAUCAAUCAAGCCACCGAAUUGUCAUCAAUCACCACAACCUCUCACAGCAACUUUUAUGGCAUCUAAAAUUUAGAUUUAGGCAUGACCAAUCACCCUAGGUUCGAGUGCCAGCCCCGAUUGCGUAAGGCAAUCUCGCUUCAUGGAGCUUAAGUUUGAGAAUAUAUUAUGCCUUGUGUAUUUCGCGAAAUGAGCUCUAACGAGCUAGGAUCGAACUUCGUCAGGACUUAGGACAUGUCGAGAGGGAUCCAUGUAGGGGAGAUAAGGACCAUCGGAAUGGGUCAGGAAUGAUCCGAUGAGCACCAAGUGGUAGCUAGAGCUAGGAUUGGUGACGGACGAACACCUAGGACCGCCGGAAGGAGAUCACUAGAAUGGAGGGGUUUUGAUGGCUGUUAGGCUAAACUCCAAUCACCGGAAUGUUGAGAACUCACCAAAGGAUGUCAAAGGACAAGUCAGGAUAGCUAGAAAAGUGGCAGACCACCCGGAACAGCUGCAGAACCGCCAAACAAAAUUACCAGCACCAGAGCCAGUCUUCGAGCCGAUCAGAAAAGAGGUGCUAGACAGAAGGCUCCAAUGUGAUUUGAGGUCCACUGAUGGGUUUUUUAUAUGUGAUGAUGGGCCUAAGUGGGCCCGUCCGCCCAUGUUGGGCCUAAAAGCCCAGCCUGCAAGAUAAGGGCCCAUAGAGGAACAGUUGCGAUGUGAAAGACUACGUUAUUUUGAUAAGAGGGGUAGUGUCCUUUUGGAGGGACGUUUUACAUUGAAGAGAUGCGUCUCUUGGAGGAGAUGCUUUUGAGGGAAAAAGAAAAAGAAAAAGAAAAAAAAAGGGAACAUACCAUUUAGAGUACGUACGUUGUUUUUAGUCUCUCUCUCCCUCCAAGAAGUGUAAGACGCUACGCUCCCAAAACAACGUUUUUCUCCCCCCCCUUAUAGCAACAGUACACUCCUCGAUAGAAUGGGAUCAGGAUUCUUCCUCGAACUUCGGCAUUGGUGUUUAAUUUGUGAACAAUAAGGUACACUCGAUUCCGUGGUGGAUCUUUGAUCGGUGAUACAUGUUAUUCUUGGGCUCGUCUUCCGCAUUUGUUUUAGGGGUUCGAUUUAGUAUCAGAUCGAUUUAGGGAAUCCAUUAUUCCCAACAUUGGUAUCAGAGCCAUUGUUCAUGUUUUCCGAUCCCUUUUCAUGUUUAUGAUUUGUUUUUGAUUGAAUUUUCAUGAAACAUCGCUGUUGGCCGAUCGGGGACGGAAAAAUCCCCACACCCGCAUACUGUUCACCCUGUUUUGUGAUUUUCUGUAAGUCGAAAUUCGUUUUUGAUAGCGUAGGGUUGAAGCUCUCGUCGAUUCGAGAAAAAUGAGUCAUGGACCGCCGCCGGACGCGCUGUUAUACACGGCCGAAAUGGACUGGGUGCAACAGGAAGGAAUUGAUUAUGAAUAAACAUUUUCUCCUGCAGUGAGAUUUACCUCGAUUCGCAUUAUUCUGGCAAUAGUGGCUAAUAUGAAUAUUAAGUUACAUCAAAUGGAUGUAAAGACUGCUUUCUUCAAUGGAGAAUUAGAGAAAGAAUGUGGCAUCCUAGAAUUUCAUAAAAAUCCCUGAAUAUGCCAUGAACCAUGGAUAGGCGAUGGAAAUACCGAUAUUGUACUUUGUAGCCUUCUAAUCCAUGAUUUGUGAUGAGAUGUAUGGCCAAGUCUUUAAUGGAUGAAUUUUGGAAAGGAAGUUUUAUCUUUGGCUGUAUGUAUGAUAAAUGGGAACUUAUAGAUUUAUAAUUUCAAGUAUAUAGUUAUCUUAAUUUGCAAUUUAGUGCUUUAAUUAAAUAGGGAUUUAAUUAGUUUUUAAAAGGGUUAAUCUUAGGUUAAUUAAACUUGGGUCUUAGGCCCAAGAGGGAUGGGCCUAAGAUGAGCCAAGCUGGCCGGCCCAUAGAGCCCAUAAAGGGUUGUCGAUCGCACGAAGAGAGGAGGGGAAGAGACCAGUUUUGCAUGCCCUCCCCCACUUGUCCUUUGAAGUGUGCCAAGUGUCCUUCAUGCAUGCCUAAUCAUAGCUAAUGAUUGAGGGGAAGAAAUUAGGGGAUGACGAGGCCAGCUUAAGCGAGAAAGAGAGGGAGAGAGAGGGCUUCGUCCGAAGGGAGAGAGAGAGAGAGAGAGAGAGAGAGAGAGAGAGAGAGAGUUACCGAGAGAAAGAGAGAAAUCGAGAGAGAAAGGGAGAGUGAGAGUGCGAAGAAGAAGGAAGCCGCUCGUCCGUUACUCGUCGUCGCCGUGUCCAGUCGCCGUGUGCUCGUGUUUGCUCGGUUUGGAGGCAAGUUGGGAUUCUUAAUCUGCUCUUGCAUGUUGUGUCUAGCAUGUGUGCUUGAAUGGUGAUAGAUUUCGGAUGUUUAGGGUGAUAAAAGUCAAAGUUCUAAGAGGGAUGUUUGAUACUAGAAAACUGUUCUUGAGAAAACAGUUUGACCUUGAAUGUUCUAUUGGCUUGCAUGUGUUGUUUGAGUUAGAUUUUGACCGUGACUUCUAAAUGAAAGUUGUUAAGUACAUAUUGAAAUAUAACAUACUCAAAUUUUAGACAAAAAAAACAAGUAUAAGUAGGUGAAAUAUUCAUUUUUCGGAGAGACUAGAUCUGGAUCAGUGGUUUCGUGGUCUGUAAAGUAAACUUCUUGUGAAAAUCUCACCUUGAUCUCUUAACGAAAGUUGUAAAGGACAUCUUGAGGAUUAAAAUAUCAAAAAUUUAGAGAAAACCAAUAAGAAUAGCUAGGUGAAAUCGUGGUUUUUCGGAGGGUGUUGAAUCUGGAACUUUCGAUACUAGGAACAGAAGUUUUAACCGCAUAUAUUUAAUUAUCUAGGAUGAAUAUGACUUUUAUUCCUUCAUGAAAAAUCUACUUUAGGGUCUUGAAUACCACAUAUUCAAAUUUCAUAAUUUUUGAAGGUCAUUAGAGUAUUUAAUCAGAAAUAUUUCAAAAACUGUGUAAUCUGACGCGUUCGGACUUGGUCAGUUUCAGUGCGUGGGCCAUAUCAUUUUGCAUAAAAUUCUUUCGGCAAAGUGUUCUUGAUGAAGUAUCUUUCUUUAUGUCUUCCCUGAAACAUAUUAAAAUUUCAUAAUUUUUUAAGUUCAUUUUCCUAUUUAACCAAAAAUGUUUCAAAAACUGUGCAAGCUGUAUUGAUAGAAUAGAAAUGCUGUGACGCGUUAUCUAUUUCAAAUUGUAUGAGGGUCUUUUGGUGCAGUGUCCUUUAUGAAAUAUCUGCCAUUAUGUCUUGACUAUCAUAUGUUCGAAUUUCAUAAUUUUUAAAGGCCAUUUGGGUAUUUAAUGGAAAUAUUUUCUAAAACUGUGCAAGCUGGAUUGUGCGAAUUCCAAAUGCUGAAAUUUAUGAUUAUUCUGCUUUGGAUGAGCCCUAUUAAUUAUAUUGAUUGAGGUGAUUGAAUCUUGCUGAGCAUGUGAUGACAUUUGGCAUUGCAUAUAGAAUCAAAUGCUGAAUUUGACUUUGUUGCCAUUACAUCAUGUGCCAUGUUGAUUGUGAGACAUAAAUUGGUGAAUAUGAAUUAUGAUGAAUGAGGAAACUGUUGGAGGUGGGCCAAUAAUGCCCUAGGAGUGUCAGGAUGCCCGGGAUGGGGGGUGCCGGAUGCCUGGUUGCAUUGAGAUACAUGCCCGGAUGUCCUCGGGAGUUUUGAGAUUCCCGGAAUGUUUGGGUGCCGGAAGCCUCGGAGGUUUGUGCCCGGGGAAUGCCUCGUGAUGCCAAUUGGGAUGCGAGAUGCCCGGAAUGUGGGGGUGUCGGAUGCCCGGUGGUGUGUGCCGGAAGUUUCUCGCGAUGCUAGGUUGGGGUGCGAGUGAUAGAAUGUGGGAUGCAAUUACUGAUCCCGAGAAAGAAAGAUGUGGUGAUCAAAUUGAAAGAUAAAAAGUGGAAAUUGAAUCAUGCACAUAUGGUAUGAUUGCAUAUGCAUGGCUGUAUGAUAUGAUGAUGAUGAGUGCAUGGUUGUGUGUGCACCUAUAGCAUGAUGGUUCAUGUAUGACAUGAUGAUGAUGAGUGCAUGGUUGUAUGUGCACCUAUGGCACGAUGGUAUGCGUACAUGAGGCAUGGUAUAUGUAUGACAUGAUGGUGAUAAGUAUAUGAGGAUGUAUGUACAUAUGGUAUGAUGACAUAUGCAUGGCUUCAAGGUAAGUUAUGCUUGGAUGCAUGAAUGAUAUGUACUAUGCGAUGAUUGUUAUGAUUGUAUUGUGUGAUGCAUUGAGUAGUUUAUUGGAUCCUUUACCUGCCGAGUGGUUGUACUCACCCCUUCGGGGACCAACAUUUCAGAUUAGGAAGAUGCCGCUCCCUCCGGUCACGCGGGGUACCUUCUAUGGCCUCCCAUCUGACGUGGAGGUAGAGUGUUCGGAGAUUGACUGCGUUACCAUCCUUGGUCUGACGUUUGUGCGAGUUCGAGUGCUGGUCAUGUACGAUGUGGGCCUGGCUAGGGGCCUAGUCAUUCAGGAGUUUUUUUCGGUCCACGUCUGCCGAGAUGGAGUGUUUAGGGGGAUGUUGCCGCCACCACCGCCCAACGCGCCAGGAUGGGUGUGAUGGCCGCGUGAGGAGCAGAGAGCUGAUGUUUCUUUUUUAGGGUAGCCGAUGCUGGUAGAUGGAAGAUGACACGUGAUUGAAUAUAUGGGUCGAGAUAUCUUUUGGGUUGUGGCCAAGUGUAGUUAAAAAUCUUGGCUUUUCCUUUUGGCUGUACCGACCCGAAAAUCCAUCAUGAAAAUAUGUAAAUAAAAGUGGCUCGGCUUUAUCUUUUCAUAUGGUGCGUAGUUGGUGUGCAUUGCAUUAUGGUUAUUGGAGAGAGAGAUGGUGAGAUUCAAUUAUGCUUCCGCUAAUAAGUUGUGCUGGGACCGUUUUCAAAAAAAAAAAAUGCUUAUGAACUACGAUGCUUCUACUAAGAGAUGUAACUAGUGUUCAUUAGGUAUAGCGAUAGGUACCUAUGGCGACCUUAGGUGUUUCGGGGUGCCACAAAGAAAUAUAUAUAGAACAACUUGCCGGUUUCAUUAUGGAAGGCCAAGAAGAAAAUGUAUGUUGACUUUUGAGAUCAAUAUAUGACCUUAAGCAAUCGUCAAGACAAUGGUUAUACGUUUUCAUAAUACCAUAAUGGGCAUAUGAUUUUACAAUGAUAGAUGAGGAUCAUUGUGUAUAUAUCAAAAGAUCCAAAAAUUAAUUUGUGAUCAUAUAAUUAUAUGUUAAUGAUAUACUAAUUGCCGGAAGCAAUAUGAAAUUUGUUAAUACUGUGAAGAGUUGGUUAUCUUCCAAUUUUGAAAUGAAAGAUAUGGGUGAGGUUGCAUACAUUCUUGGAGUUAAGAUUUCAAGAGAUUGUUUGAAUAGAUCAUUAUCACUUUUGCAAGAAACAUGCAUAAAUAAGGUUCUUGAACGAUUUCAUAUGCAAGAUUGUAAACUAUUGCAAAAGAUGAAGGAUUGAGCCAUAGAUUGUGUCCAAGGACUCCAUAAGAAAAGGAACAAAUGAAAUAUGUUCCUUAUGCUAGUGCUGUGAGAUGCUUAAUGUACGCUAUGAUAUAUACAAGACCUGACAUAUGUUUUGCAGUUAGAAUGGUGAGUAGAUACCAAUCCAAUCCAAGUCAAGCACAUUGAAAGCCGUUAAAAGAAUAUUGAGGUAUCUCAAGGGAACUGCUGAUUACAAGCUAAAUUACCAAGGAAAUGAUCUGCAACUUGAAGGCUAUUCAGAUGCUGAUUGGGGAUGAGAUUUAGAUGAAAGAAAAUCUACCUCUGGUUUUGCUUUCUUACUAAAUAAUUGCGCCAUAUCUUGGAGCAAUAAGAAGCAAACGUGUAUAGCCUUGUCCAUAAUGAAAGCUGAGUUCGUGGCAUUAUCAGCAGCAGUACAAGAAGGUGUUUGGCUUAAGAGAUUUUUGGAUUAUUUAGGUUUUAUUGGGUAUGCUGUAAAUCCGUUAUUGGUUAACUAUGAUAACCAAGCAGCUAUAGCGUACACCAAAAAUCCAAAAUAUCAUGGCAAGACUAAACAUAUAGAUACCAAGUAUAAUUUUGUCAAUGAUAUGGUUGCACGAAAAGAUGUGAACUUACAAUACAUAUCUACACGUAGAAUGGUAGUAGAUUCUAUGACAAAGCCAAUACCUAGAGAUGUGUUUUGUGGUCAUGUAAAUCUCUAGAACUGCGUAGAGGCUGAUAUACUGAAUAUUGUAAUUUCCCUGAAGUGUUCACAUUUAAUGAAUUUGUGUUUUUUCAUUAUUAAUGCUUAUGAAUCUUUGUUUGACGUUUAUGCAUCUUAAUGCUCAGUGCAUUAUAUUAAGUUGAGAAAGUACGUCAGACAGAUAAAAGAUUAACCCACUCACACGGGUAAUCGUCUCUAUUUAUUGUGUGAUAAAUAGAGAUGAGAUGGUUUUUAAGCUUAUUAUCUAAGUGAUAAUCGAGAGUUCAAGCUUAAAAUAUAUAUGUCAUCUUAAUUGAGUGUUAAUAUGAGGACAUGAUAUUGACUAUGUUCGAAAGUAAAAUAACUCACAUAUUUUACUUUAUCUGUCUAUGAUGCCAGAUGUGAGUUCUGAUGAAUUCUGUGUAUGAGUAGAUAUGUGAACUCAAGUUAGACAUUGAGUAUGUCUGAACUAUCAUAUGUACGAUAUUAAAGAUGUAGACAUACGCUCCAUGGGAAAUGAGUUAAUACCGUAAUACGUAUUUCAUACGACGUAUGCAUGAGACGACCAAUAAGAGUGGCAAAAGUUUGAUUUUAGUUUUUAUGCCGUGUGAGACUCUUGAGGAAAAGAGUUCCUCAAUUUAGUGCCCUCAUGACUCUUACUUAUCCUCAAAAUUUCUAUUCAAUGUUUGCUAUCUUAGAAUGUUGCCAAUGAUCAUGAAUUGAUUCGAUCUAAUGGGACAUUUCUAGAAAAACAAUUGAACUAAAAUUGAGAGUUUCAAGUAAAGAGGAAGAUCGAAUUUAAAGAAUCACAUUCUAGUUUUGUAUUAAUUAGUCGACCAAUUAUGAUUGUUUCUGGGAUAAUAAUAAUUGUGAAUACAAUAUAUCAUUGUUUAAAAAGAGAUCAAGAGAGAGAUAUAAAUGUGAUCGAUCAAUCUAGGGUACUGCAUACUAAAUCUACUCAAAGUGUGAUGCUCAUUAUGAGCUACUAUAUAUUCCUAACAGAUGUAUGGCAACGGGCUCUCAAAGUAUGCUGGUCGCACGGAUUAUUCACCGGUAUGAAUGUUGCAGAGAGGUAAAGAUGAUCAUGUUCGGUCCACCAUGUGCGAGUAGGAGAUGAUGGCUUUUUUUAUAUGUGAUGAUGGUCUUAAGUGGGCCCGUUCACCCAUGUUGGGCCUAAACGGCCUGCAAGAUAAGGGCCCAUGGAGGAACGGUUGCGAUGUGAAAGGCUACAUUGUUUUGAUACGAGGGGUUGUGUCCUUUUGGAGGGACGUUUUACAUUGAAGAGAUGCGUCUCUUGGAGGAGACGCUUUUGAGGGAAAAAGAAAAAGAAAAAUGAAAAAAAAAAAGGGAGCUACCCUUUAGAGUACGUACGUUGUUUUUAGUCUCUCUCUCCCUUUAAGAAGUGUAAGACGCUAUACUCCUAAAACAACGUUUUUCUCCCCCCUUACAGCAACAGUACACUCCUCGGUAAAACGGGAUCAAGAUUCUUCCUUGAACUUCAGCAUUGGUGUUUAAUUUGUGAACAAUAAGGUACGCUCAAUUCCGUGAUGUAUCUUUGAUCGGUGAUACAUGUUAUUCUCAGGCUCGUCUUCCGCAUUCGUUUUAGGGGUUCGAUUUAGUAUCGGAUCGGUUUAGGGAAUAUGUUAUUCCCAACAUGGACAGUGACGGUGAGACUCACGAGAAGGUGGUGGUGAUUAGAGGUGCAAGCGCAUCGCCGAUAGGGGCUCUGGCAAGCGAUGAUCGGCACGGCAAAGAGGGAGGCCAAGAAAUGGCGAUCGGGGGAGGGGUAGAGAGAGAGAAUCUAAAUAUGAAAGUCCCUCAAUUUUGGAGGGAAAAUGGGCUUUAUACCUCAUUGUAAGAUCAUAUCCUAGCUCUUGGAUCAAUUUAGGAUUAGGAUCUUAUCUUCCUAGUUUAACCAACUUACUUAGCCAUUAAGUUUACUUACGAUUGGUCAAUAAUAUGCACAUGUCAAUUUGAAUAUCUACGAUGAACUCUCAAUGGAUAAUCAUGAUCAAUUUUGGGAUUAAAGGCUAAUCAGGGGCGUUUUUGUAAUUCACAAAUCUCACGGCAAUUUUGUAAUUUCACUAGGGGCAAAUUUGUAAUAACAUGCAAUGAGGUGAGGGAAGAUCGACUAGACCUUGGGUUUGCUAGUGAAGGCGGUUGGCCACUGAAGGUUCACCAGAAAAUGGCUAGUUUGGCCGUUUUCCGACGAAGGCCAAUCAAGUCGAUCGCACCAGUCCAAACUAAUUUCGACCAAUUCAAUCGAUUCUUGGUCUUUUCUUGUGCAACUUAGUCUAGGGACUUAAUUGCAAAGAAUCUUUGUUCAAUUAGGAGAAGAAAUGAGCUAGUUUGAAAAGAAAUUAUCUAAUUUCGAUGAAAUUAAACCAAUUAAAUCUUGUAAAAGCAUCUCAAUUAGUUCCAAUUGGUUUAAUACCUUUAUAACGUUGAAAAUCAUGAAUAUACUCAAUGGGUGUACGAAAUUAGAAUUUCUAUUCCAAUUAGCACAAUUUGUGCAAUUUUCUAUCUCAAAACGCAAAUUGAUUGAAAUUGAAUCCAAUUAAUGUAACGAGAUAUAGUUCAAUUACACACAUUCGUGAUGGCUUAUUGCAUCCAAAUUGACACUAAAAUGAAGGUACAACCUUUAUGCCAAUUAAAUUGAGGGCCAAUGUUGAAAUUAAACCUCAAUCUAUCAAAUUAAACUUUAUUUUUAAAAUGGGUCAACUGGAAUUGCACUAAUUGAAGCUUAUUAGCUUGGAUUUCUUAAGUUCAACUAAGCUAAAUCCAUCAAAUUAGAGAUUUCCCAAGUGGCUUUGGCAAAAUUGAUCAUGGAUUUGGAUUCAAUUUAAGAAAAUGAGUUGAAUGGAAAUGCUAGCACGCAAUCCGAGAAGAAUCAAUUAGGCUAAAAAUGUUAAAUUUUAUCCCAACAUGCUAAAUCACUGAAAUGAUCAUGAGAGUGAUUUCAAAAUAGCCUCUAGAUUAAAUAUCAUAAAUGAAACUAAGCCAAAAUAUGAAUAAAAUGAAAGUACUUUUAUUUUUUGUCGAUUUGGAACUUAAAAUAAAAAAAUUAGAAAAAUGAGGUUAUUAAUUGAUUUUCAUAGAAUUUUCAAUGUCAAAGUUAAAUCAAAGCUAAAAUAAGAUGAAUUGUGGGUGUUUAUAUUUUUCAAUUUUUUUUUUGUUAAAGAGCUGAUUCAUUAAAAUGUUGAUUUUAUAAUAAAAAAUUUUAAUUUUAAUUUUCAAAAUUUUUGUUGCCAAAGUGAUGUUAAGACUAAUUGGGAUCUUUUUGUGCAAAAAAGCCAAAUUUUAACUAGAAAUUGACUUUUCAUCAAAGAGUUGACUAAAACAUCAAUUCAAAAGUUAACUCUUUGACUUUUUGGGUUUUCAUUAUAAAUAAGUAAGAAAUUGUUUACAAAUGGCUGGUCAAAGAAAAUAAAACUAAAAAUGACACUUUUGACUCGAGAAAUAGACUCUGUUACGAUAAAAAAUCCUUAUCUCACAUUUUUAACUUUGAUGAUGCAUUGGUUAAAAGUUAAGUGUUAACAAUGGUCCUUUUACUUUUGACCAAAAUUAAUAACUAUAACUCUACUUUUUUUAUUCUUAUUCAAAAUUGUUCUUGUACUUCUUAAUUUGUUCCACGCUAGUUCUCCUCAAAUAUCUUCUUUUGCGGUCAACCUUUGUUGAUGGGGGUCGCUAGAUUUCUAAUUAGAAUUAAUUGAGAGAGAGACCAUGAAGAAGAAAUAUUGCAAAAGAUUUGUUGAUGAAAGGGGAGUGAGGUUAAUCCGUGACGUGUGUUUUCACCGAGGUAGCCAUGGUCACUCCUACUCGAAGCCCGCGGCUUGUGGUCGCUCAAGCUUGAGACCGGGGCUCACCGUUGCCAUGGCUAGUCAACCUUUGGUCUCACGGCCAUGCAAGAACUCAAGUGGCUGGUUGCCAUGGCCGCUAUCUAAAGCCGGCUGAUCUCAAACUCAUGGCCGCAACCAGUGCUCAAGCUUUUGAGCUGUGGUCAUGGCUGCUACGGGUUGUCAUGGGAGAAUACUUACAAAUUAUGUUUUUACGAGAUGCUAUUGUUGGAGCUAGCAAGUAGCAUCUAAAAGGAGAUGAAUAGGUGAUUCUAUCAAAUCUAUCCAAUUUAUCUAUUGAUUCUGGCCACACAUACAAUCAAAGUUUUGGUUUUCAAAAAUAGAUGUCUCCGUUCAAAGAAAGAACUUGUCUUCAAGAUUGAUUGCCAAUUAAUUAAAGUGUUUUGCAUUACAACAUUGGUUUGCAAAACAAUCUUUAUGAUUAAGAGUCAAUCAAGUUUUUUUAAGUGUGAAAUUUGAGCCAAAUCACUAGUCAUAAUAUACGUUUGGAACAUGUGUAUGAAAUAGAACACUAGUUUUUUUUUUUUUUUUGGUCGAAGUGAAAACGCUUUGAUUGAUACUAAGUCGGUGGAUUACAAAUAGUAGGAAAAUCAACACAUAAGAUAAGAAAGAGUUCGUGCGGGGGAUUAGUAACCCAAUUACCCGGCAAGGAACCGGAGCUGUGUGAUUUUGCGACCUAGUCCGCGGCUCGGUUGGACUCGCGCGGUUCAAAUUGCAAGCAAACAUCCUUCAUCUGGCCCAGCAAUUGUCGGCAGUCCAGUACAAAGGGCCGCGAGGCCCAUGGAGUUUCUGUGCAGCCCAGAACCGACUGAACAGCCAAGGAGCAGUCGCUAGAUACGUAAAAGAUGGCUUCAGUUCGUGCGGGUGAAAGUGAUUAUGUCAGAACAGCUCUCUUCUCCUUCAACCACUCGAGCGAACGCCUGAUAGCUAGGGUUUCGGCCAUGUGAGCCGAUUGAGCACGGAUUUUCUGCACAAAACCAGCAGUGCACACCCCAUCAGCUCCUCUACAAAGACCGGCGAUGGAUCCCUCUGAUCGGCUCUCCUGCCAUGAGCAAUCCACGUUGAUCUUCCACGCUCCCGGAUCUGGAGGUACCCACGAGUGUCUUUCCGAGGUAAGCACUGUCUUUUGUGGUUGCCACUUCUCGAAAAGUUGCUGAGCUAGGCGAGCUUCACUGAUUAUCUUGUUUCGUUCUGUUUUCCUUCCUUGAAAGAUCAGGCCGUUUCGUGCUUUCCAUAUGUACCACAAAAUGGUCGCGAAGGUCGCCUUUUGACUUGCUGAGAUGCCGGAGAAGAGGUAGUUACAUACCCACUGAUCUAUUCUUGUAACUGAUGCCGGGGAUGUGUUGAUUUGGUCACUAAAGUUCAGCCAUAUGCGUUUGUCCACUGGCACAGGAUAAUAGUGCUCGGAGGACUCCGGAUGCUCGCAGCACAAGGGCAGUAGCUCAGUAAGAUUUUCCUCCGGCACAGUUGAGUCUGGUAGGAGGCCUUCAGUACAUAAGCNNNNNNNNNNNNNNNNNNNNNNNNNNNNNNNNNNNNNNNNNNNNNNNNNNNNNNNNNNNNNNNNNNNNNNNNNNNNNNNNNNNNNNNNNNNNNNNNNNNNAGUGCCUGAUUCUGGGAUUAGUAUGUAUGUGCCAUAUUUCCUUCCAUAGUCUGUUGGGGACUUGAAAAGAAGAUGGAUGCCUGAUUCUCUUUGUUUGUUAUGGUUGCUGCUUGUAGUCUGUGAAUAUCCAUGUUUGACUUUGUAGUUCCCCGAGUGAUGCCCUAUCCAUAUUAAGUGGUCAGGUCUGGUGUUUAUGCUAAGUGUCGUUUGCUGGAUCUCCUCCGAAAUGUUUCUGUCAAAAAGCUCAUUGAUGAGUUGAUUUUUCCAUGUGCGUGAGUGUGGCUCGAUAAUAUCUGCAACUAACUUUGGGUCGUUUUGAUUCGCCGGUCCUCCAAUUUUGCCUGACAUGAGCCAACAAUCUUCUCUUAAGUUUAUAGAUUUGCCAUCCCCAAUCUCCCAUUUCAAAUCAGGUUCAAGAGCAUCGCGGCCAAGUAGAAGGCUUUGCCAACCCCAUGAUGGUCUGGCACCCUUUGUAGCAGUCCAUAGGCUACCAUUAGGGAAGUAGAGUCCUUUAAACAUUCUGCUCCAUAAGGCUUCUGGAGUUUGAUGGAGUCUCCAGGCUUGUUUUCCCAGCAUUGCCCUGUUUAGUUCCAUUAAAUCUCUGAAUCCCAAGCCACCCUGGUCAUUUCUCAUCUUUAAGACAUCCCAACUCUUCCAGUGAACACCUCUCUGUGCUGCAUUCUUUCGCCACCAGAAAUCUGAAAUUUUCCUUUCAAUCGCUUUACAAAUGGAUAGGGGUAUUUUGAAUAUAUUCAUGGCAUAUUGGGGAAGAGCCUGAACAACCAUUUUUAUUAGUACUUCUUUCCCCGCCUUUGAAAUUAACUGCUCCUUCCAGCCCUCCAGUUUUCUAUCCACCCGUGCUAUGAUCCAAUUGAACAUCUGUUUUUUUGUUGGACCCCAAUCGGAUGGUAUCCCCAAGUAUUUUCCAGUCUUUUCUAAGAUAGGAACCCUCAAUUCCGAUGCUAUGUUUCCUUUUAAAACCUGUGGACAGCUUUCCCCAAAGAAUACCCCAGAUUUGUUACGAUUAACUGACUGGCCCGUCGCAAAGCAAUAGCAAUUCAGUAAGUUUGCAAGAUUCUGAGCUUCUCUAAGUGUUCCAUCCAUAAAGAAAAUAGCAUCAUCCGCGAAGAAUAAAUGAGAAAGAGUGGGGCAGUGAGGGUUUAAUUUAAUACCUUUUAGGCUACCAUCACUGACAGCAUUUUUCACCAUGUGGGAGAGGACAUUGGCCAAAAGUAUGAGCAGAUAAGGUGAGAGCGAGAUCGCCUUGUCGUAUACCUCUUGAUGGACUAAAGGUUUCCCCUGCUUCACCAUUGCUUAAAAUUUGAAAUUGGGCUAAGGAAAUGCAAAAUCUAAUCAGCUGCACCCAUCUAUCACCGAAACCCAUCUUCUUCAUGCAAUCACAUAGAAAGUCCCACUCGACUCUAUCAUAUGCUUUCUGCAUAUCCAGUUUCAGCACAGCCUGGAAUUUCCUUCGCCUUUUUCUAACUCGUAGCUGAUGGAUAACUUCUUGGACUAUAAAGAUGUUAUCUUGUAUCUGUCGAUUGCUAACAAAAGCGCUUUGUUCAGGAGAAAUAAUGAGAUGGAGCCAAGGUUUGAGUCGAUUCGCCAUGACCUUUGUGAUAAUUUUAUAGCUGAAGUUGCACAGGCUGAUAGGCCUGAAUUCUGAUAUUCUUUCAGGGUUUGCCACCUUGGGGAUGAGUGUAAUAUGGGUUAGGUUUAGUUCUGGAUCAAAGGUUCAUUCUCUGAAAAAAGAAUUUACAAGUUGAAAUAUGUCUUCAUGAAUGAUAUGCCAUUGACUUUGGUAGAAUAGGCCACUUAAACCAUCCGGUCCUGGGGCUUUAGUUGCCCCCAUUUGAAAAACAGCCUGCUGCACUUCUUCCUUUGUGACUGGUCUUAUGAGUGCCUCAUUCAUUUCCUCGGUUACCAUGCUAGGACAUUGCUCUAAGACUGGCUGAUAGUGUCGGUACCCCACAGACUGGUAUAGAUUCUUAUAGUAGGCUGUGAUGUGUUGUUUGAUAACUCGAGGCUCGCGGCUCCACACAUUCUCAUCAAGUUUGAGCAUGCUGAUUUUGUUUCUUUGUCGUCUCUGAAUGGUUGUUGCAUGGAAGAAUUUUGAGUUCCGAUCACCCCACUUCAGCCAAUUAAUUCUAGAUCUAAUGCCCCAAUACAUUUCUUCUUGGCGCCAUAAUGCGCCAAUUUUCUCAGUUAAAUUAUUGUAUUCCUCUCCCAUAUUUGUCUGGUCUGCUCUGUUCAUUAUCUGGAUAAGCUGGUUUCUGAGCUCACCAAUCUGUUUGGAUGCAUUUCUAAAGGAUCUUCUGCUCCACUUUCUCAAAUCUUGAGUUACUUGCUUUGUUUUCCUUACCAGGUUUUUAUGCUGCCCAUGUACUGUCUUCCAAGCCUGAUCUACUACAGCUGCACACUCAGGAUGAUCUACCCAGUAAGGUUCAAAUCUGAAUAAUUUCUGUCUUUUCGGUACUACUGAAUUUAAACAAAGCAUUAGAGGACCAUGAUCAGAACCUAUUGCUGGAUAGACAAAAGCUUCAGCAUUUGGAAAUAGGAUCCGCCAUUCUAGGUUGCAAAAUACCCGAUCAAGUCUUUUCUUGACUAAUUCCUCUCCUUCCCUUUUAUUAGUCCACGUGAAUGCACACCCCUUACUUUCAAUGUCUAUUAACGAACAUGAAUCAACAAAUUCUCGAAAGGCUGUCAUUCGAAAUCUCUCCACUGAUUUUCGACGCACCUUCUCCCAAUGGUAUAAAACCUCAUUGAAGUCUCCUAUGCAUAGCCAAGGUUGUGAAGUGUUUCCAUUUCUUUCUCUAAGAAAGUUCCAAAGAGAGACUCUUUCUUGGAAAUUUGUUGACGCGUGCAGCAUCGAAAUCUUCAUUUUAGUUCCAUUUUCAGCAUCUGUGCAUGAAAUUUCAAUCAUCUCGUGGCAGCUAUACUCGAUAGAUAUAUGCACCGACUCAUCCCAUAAGAUUACUAGUCCUCCCACAAAGCCGAUAGGGUUAAUAGCAAACAUAGAAGUAAAUCUUAGUCUUUUUUUGAUAUUUUCCACCAUCUGGUAUUGAUUCUUUGUCUCCAUAAGGAACACCAGAUUAGGUCUCUCACGAGCCACUAAGGCUCGUAGGUGCUGGACUGUCAAGGGAGAGCCUAGACCUUGACAGUUCCAACUUAACAUUUUCAUGGCUCCUUUGGUGGCUUAUUAGGGCUAGCCACCAAAGCCCCUACAGAUUCACCUUCCCAUAUUUGAAUUGGUGUUUCCAUAAGUUGGUCCAAAUCCACUAGAGCUGUCAGUGAAGCCCUCUUCUCGUAGGGAGCAAACCGUUUCAAUUUCUUGGGUGUUGGUUUUGUUGGACCAAGUUUCACUACCCCCUGUGUCGCUACACCCUCAUCCUGUAUCUGAUAUGUCUUUAGAAAAUCUGGAGGCUGCUGUGUUCUUUUCCCUUUCUUUUGUGCAAUAAGCUCUGCUGAAUCUGUUUCUUCUGGUGUUGUUUUUGUCUCAGGUUGAUAAAGCACAAGGGCUUGACUCUCAUCACAUGGACUUUUCCUGUUUGAUACAUCACAAGAGGGAAUAACAGGGGUUUCGGGAACCAUUUCAUCUUCUAUCAAGGUAAAAUCGACGUCACCAUAGAAGGUUUUCCAGCAAGGGCUAAGAGUUUUCACCUCUGCCUUUAACCAAGAACCAUAGCGGCCUGGUUUGUCCUGUGGAAGUCCAGAUUCUUCAUAGGGAUAUGUCGGACAAUAGUUAGCAUAGUGGCCUAUAUAACCACAAGAAUAGCAAAAGUGUGGGAGUCUCUCGUAUUUAAAGUCAAUCCACCAGUUUCGAUCUCCCACGUGAAUGAUUGUGCUAGUUCUAAGGGGUUGCAUUAGAUUCAGCUUCACUUUUGCUUUGCCUAUCUUUCGAGAAUCAUUGUUCCGAGCAUCAAUUCUAACAUCCUCUACCUCUCCCAAUUUUCCAGCAAUCUUGCUAAUACACGGCUCCGACAUUGCAGCCCAUGGAAGCCCUAUCAAGUGCACCCAGAACAAGCAGGAUUUGAAUUCAUAACAAUGCUCGGGAACGGCAGGGUCUCCUUCUUGUAAGACUAGCAAAUUACUGGCAAAAGACCAAGGGCCUGUUUGGAAUACUCUCUUCUUAUCUAUCUCCGAUUUGAAUAUGAAAACAAAUAAACCCUGUUCUAUCACCUCGCAUCUGACUUCUUCUACCUUCCAUGCCUUUUUUAUUGUAGCCCAGAAUGCUGGAAAGUUAACAUUUGGCUUCGAAAACAAUUUGCCAUAUAAUAGAUGCUCACCAGCCGUUUGGUUUGCCUCAGGGAUGUGAUUAUUCAACUCCGUAAUAUCAUCCGCAGCCCAGAGAUCUCCCAUGCGUUUACAGAGGGUCAACAAGCGGAGCUGGUUUUCAUAGCUGCCCUCCAUCGCUCCAGCAGGACUUUCUAGAGAGAGGGUUUUCGUUGACAACAAGGUGGGGUUCCGAAGAUGGGUGGAUUUUGGUUCAGAGGAUGGAUUUAUAGGGAAUGAAGGGAGCUCUGUAGAUUACAUGAGCAUUUACCGAUAGAUCUGGGUUAUGACAAGUUAGGGUUUGAGGAAGCAAUUUGUUCAUUCUUUUUGUUGUUUUUGGUUGAGAAGAGAAAAUGAAAUGAUCAAUCCGGUGGGUAGAAUGUAGCAAUAUCCAUUGCGAAGGCAGAAUCGAAGUCUGGAACGAAAAAGGAGCGAUCGCAGGAAGGAGAAAAGGAAACUCACCGUCGGCGAGAGAAGAGGCCACUAUCGGCAGAGAAUUGCUGAGUGAAUUGUAGGAAGCCUUUGACCAUUCAAGUUUCGAACGCAAUGUGGUUGGCCAUGAUUUUGACUAGGCAUCGUCCGUCGCUCUAUAAGAAUUGAGCAAUUCGUGUUGAAACUUUGCUUUCCUGUCGUAUUUAAUUAGGGAAAUUCUAAGUAAACUAACCAAGUUAGCCCCUAAUAUAAACUAUCUUAUUUUCAUUGUUUUCCCCUUUUGUUUGCUUAUUUUGAAGUCAACUUCUUCAAUGGCUUCCAUUCUUUUGCUUUGCGGAGAGAAUAUUGGACAAGAUUAAUGUCAUAUAUAAGAGUAGGAGUUAGAAAUAUAUUAUAUNNNNNNNNNNNNNNNNNNNNNNNNNNNNNNNNNNNNNNNNNNNNNNNNNNNNNNNNNNNNNNNNNNNNNNNNNNNNNNNNNNNNNNNNNNNNNNNNNNNNGAGCAAAAUCCCAUCGCCAAGUCGACCAAAGGACGAAUGAUGACGCUUUUUAUAAAAAUAAAGAUGAAAAUGGAGGGAUGCUUUUUUUAAAUAAAAUAGAAAAAGCCAAGGAGGAUUUGAAUUUUGGACAAAAGUGAGGCGUCACCGAUUUAUCUAAUAUUUUCAGCACAGAAUCAACAUUGACUUUCGGGCGACCGUCUCCUCCGGCUUGCUACUCACGAAAAGUUGAGCGAAGGGACAUCCAUCUUUAACUUUCUAUCUCGUGUGCUCGUGCCCCAUUCGCGGAAAGUUGAGUUGGAUGAGAAGGUCCAAAUCGUCCUCAGCAUUAUGACUAAAACAGUGCUCCGUUUGGGAGUCAAAAUGGUCUUUGCAGAAGCAAAUCCAUCCCCUCCCAAAUGGGCCACUCAUCUCCAGCUGAGAAUCUUCUUCCUGCCCAUCUUCCUAUGCCUGAUAGUCAAUCUCAAGUCAACACGACUGAAACUACUUGAUCACAAUUCACGGGCCAAUCACCAGCUCGAUGGCAAAGCUUCACAUCCAUGGAGUCCACGCCCCUACCUUCAUUCUCUUCUUCGUCUCUAUUCAGUACCCACUUCUUCUUCUCACUCUUUCCUCAGCCUACACAACUCAGACCAGUUACUUCAUCAAUUGUGGAUCAAGCAACAGCCAGAACUAUUCCAACAGGGUCUUUGUCGGUGACACGGGUUCUGACUCCAUCUCCUUCACAAAACAGAGUACCUCCGCCCAAUCCAGCAGCCAAUUCUCGAGCGUCUUACCUAUUUACAACACGGCAAGAAUCUUCAGAAACCCUUCGUCGCAAUACGCUCUUGAGGGAAUGGAUAGAGGUACUCACAUCGUGCGACUCCACUUUUUCCCUUUCGCUUCCACAAGCAAUCUCUCCGAGGCCGUGUUCGAUGUCUCUGUAGAUGGGCUCACGCUUCUCAGCAAUUUCCAAGUGCCCAGUAGUAACGGCUCUCUUGUGGUGGAGGAGUUCUUGCUUACCAUAAAUACUACUAAGUUCGUACUCUAUUUUCGUCCUCGAGGGUCAUCUUUUGCAUUUAUCAAUGCCCUUGAAGUGUUCCUUGUGCCUGAUAGAUUCAUUCCUGGUUCUGCUCCGAGUGUGGGCACUUUGGCGAUUAAUAGCAGCAACUAUAGCAGAAUUUCCUCCCAGGUUUUGCGCACGGUUUACCUUAUUAAUGUCGGAGGCGAUGAAGUAGCUCUGGGCGAUGAUCCUUUGUGGAGAAGUUGGGUUCCUGAUAGUAAUUACAUUCAUGUCCCAAACGCUGCACAAAAUAGCCCUAGCUAUGGGAGUGUUCUUAAUUACCAGGAUGAUCUAGACAAAUACUUAGCAUCGGAACGCGUUUACCGGACUGCUAAGGUGAUGAACGAAUCUGCUUGGGGAUUAUACCCCAACACCACCUGGAAUUUCAAGGUGAGCGCAAACGCCUCGCACUUGGUCCGGCUCAUUUCUGUGACAUCAUUAGCCUGUCUCUCAACAUGGUGCACUUCAAUCUUUAUAUUAAUGGGAAUUUCACUGAGUACAUCGACCCAUACAGUGUAAAUGGGUUUCGUCAGUCCUAUGUUCCUUUUCAUUAUGAUUUUGUGGUUCAGCCGGGCAGCUCAGGGCUAGUGAACAUCAGCAUAGGCCUCCUUAAUGCCUCAGACACACCAUCUCAGCAAGCCUAUCUCAAUGGCCUGGAGAUAAUGGAGAUAAUAGGGUCGUGGGACUUGGAUUUUGCGCAUUCAGAGGUUGAUAACCAGAAUAAGCACGUUGGCCUCAUAAUUGGGCUAGUUUCUGGAAGCAUCGUGCUCAUAUGUGUUUCUGCUGCGAUCUUCAUAUGCAAGUAUAGAAAGCCGAAGAGAACUGAAACUUGGGCUUGGUCGCCAUUGCCUGCAAUCGGAGGAGGCAGUUCGCACAGUGAACUGACUGAGCAAAGUACUCCCGGCUCUGCUGUUCCUAAUCUUCAUCUAGGACUGAAAGUACCCCUUGCUGAAAUCCAUUUCGCCACCAACAACUUCGAUGGCAAACUUUUGAUUGGCAAGGGUGGAUUCGGCAAUGUCUAUAGAGGAACUCUCAGGGACGGCACCAAAGUUGCUGUGAAACGGAGCGAGCCAGGGUCGGGACAAGGGUUCUCUGAGUUCCAAACAGAGAUCACCGUUUUGUCCAAAAUCCGCCAUCGCCACCUCGUAUCCUUAAUUGGGUAUUGUGCUGAACGGUCCGAGAUGAUACUUGUUUACGAGUUUAUGGAGAAGGGGAGCUUAAAUGAUCACCUGUACAAUUCCGAUUUCCCAUGCUUACCUUGGAAGCAAAGGCUCCAGAUCUGCAU